AGUUCGGAUUGUAGGCUGCAACUCGCCUACAUGAAGUUGGAAUCGCUAGUAAUCGCGAAUCAGAAUGUCGCGGUGAAUACGUUCCCGGGUCUUGUACACACCGCCCGUCACACCAUGGGAGUCGGAAAUGCCCGAAGUCAGUGACCCAACCGCAAGGAGGGAGCUGCCGAAGGUGGAGCCGGUAACUGGGGUGAAGUCGUAACAAGGUACC
rnacentral:rRNA from 1 species